GUUUCUCUCUCCAAGCUUUUUUUCUAUCUCAUUCUCGUCUCUCCAUAUCCAAACCCUUCAAAGAAAGCAAUGGAAGAAGACUUGCAAGAUGUUACUCUCAAAUAAACCCUUCAAAGAAAAAAUCUACCGCCGGUUUACUUGUCUCAGCAGCAACUUCUCCUUCUUCAGAUUUUCCCCUCUCUCGUCUACUGUACAUCUCUUUCACCUUCAUUCACCUUCUACCCAUUCAACUUAUCUCCCAUCCGGGUGACUAUAAGUUGCUCGGUGUGGUAUCAAGGUUUGUGGUGUUCCUGCGGUUUUAAAGGCAAAGCUGUGGGUAUCGUUUCGUGCGGUUUCUCCUGGACAUGGUGUUUAUUGUUUGUUGACCGACUUUUCGUGUUCAUAGUUUUGUAACAAUGAUAUCUAAAUCAAGUUCAAGAGAGAAUUACGGUGCGAACUAUCUAGAAGGGGAUGCUUUAGUGGGCUUAAGGCUGGUUAAACCCAGGGAUGUUUUCUUCUAUUUCACAAUAGCUUUCUAUGCUUUUGUCCCAAACUUGAACCCUUUUGUGGGAAUUACUAUAUUCAAUUCCCCUUCUUGUAAUUUUAUUCAACUGAAUAUUGAUCCACUUUUAAAUCAUGAAAGUAUAUAGAUUAGGAUAUAUGUUCACGGCUUCUGCAAUAUAGUCGUACCUCUUAAAAUCAAAUAUAUUUCCUUGUGUUAGAUACAAUAUUUAUACAUGUUACUUAGUUGUGAACGUAAGAUGCACAUUCAUCAAAUAAGGCUUGAAUAAUAGUACUCUAACACAAUGUUACUUCUCUUUGAUGCAGUGUAUGCAAAGUCGCGACAGAAGACUAUAAGUGAAUGUGUGGCAUGAUUUAACCAAUCUAUACACGUUGACUGGGUUAAGAGCACCGACGAAUGAAACAACGAACUCUACAUGAAAGAUCAAUGUGUUUGUGAAAUGCAAAAGAAAGCAUUUGAAAUUUGUUCGAGAGGAUUAGUACAUGUUUUUAUUCAAUGUGACCCAACACAAGUUGCUUGGCUAUAUAAUAUUUGUGUUUUUCUGCAUAUUCACUACUUUGAUUGGCGAGCUCGGCAAGACGUGCUUACCAUCAUGCUCCUCCACAAAAAGGUGGUUGAAGUUCUUAACCCUCUAGCUCGUGAAUUCAAUUCAAUUGACACCAUGAAAUAUAAUCUAGCUUGAUUGCAGGAUGAGUUAGCAGAUGCACAUAGACAGGUUCAUAUAUCUGAAGCAAGAGUUUCUACUGCUUUAGAUAAACUAGCUUACAUGGAAGAUAAGCUUGAAGAAUGUUUUAGGUCCAGUUUAGUCAUACCAUCCUAAUUUAAAGAAUUUCUGGUAUCCAAAGAAUGCCAGUACUUUUGUAUUUGUAUGUGGUAUCAUAGUUUAUUUAAAUUUGGUAUGUGGUUAAUUUUGCAUUAAUUGACUGCUUCAUUCAGUUUUUGUCGGAUAGAUGUAAAAUAGAUGUAAAGCAUCUAAAUGUUGAUAGUGAAAAACCAGUUACGAUGAUAUCUAGAACUAUUACUACAACUGGAGCCAGUAGCGAACAAGGAGUUGGUGUAUUGGUCCCUCUGUGUAAAAGGAAGGAG